rfam:Prevotella marshii DSM 16973 genomic scaffold SCAFFOLD1, whole genome shotgun sequence.
CCCAGCGCUGCGCGCUGGGCUGAUGUCUUGCGCUCUUGCAGAGCU